rnacentral:rRNA from 1 species
AUGGUUAAGUUAGAAAGGGCGCACGGUGGAUGCCUUGGCACUAGGAGCCGAUGAAGGACGGGACGAACACCGAUAUGCUUCGGGGAGCUGUAAGCAAGCUUUGAUCCGGAGAUUUCCGAAUGGGGAAACCCACUGCUCGUAAUGGAGUAGUAUCCAUACUUGAAUACAUAGAGUAUGAGAAGGCAUACCCGGGGAACUGAAACAUCUAAGUACCCGGAGGAAGAGAAAGCAAAUGCGAUUCCCUGAGUAGCGGCGAGCGAAACGGGAACAGCCCAAACCAAGAGGCUUGCCUCUUGGGGUUGUAGGACACUCUAUACGGAGUUACAAAGGAACGAUAUAAGCGAAGAGGUCUGGAAAGGCCCGCCAAAGAAGGUAACAGCCCUGUAACUGAAAUGUUGUUCUCUCCAGAGUGGAUCCUGAGUACGGCGGAACACGUGAAAUUCCGUCGGAAUCCGGGAGGACCAUCUCCCAAGGCUAAAUACUCCCUAGUGACCGAUAGUGAACCAGUACCGUGAGGGAAAGGUGAAAAGCACCCCGGAAGGGGAGUGAAAUAGAUCCUGAAACCGUGUGCCUACAAGUAGUCAGAGCCCGUUAACGGGUGAUGGCGUGCCUUUUGUAGAAUGAACCGGCGAGUUACGAUCCCGUGCAAGGUUAAGCAGAAGAUGCGGAGCCGCAGCGAAAGCGAGUCUGAAUAGGGCGCAUGAGUACGUGGUCGUAGACCCGAAACCAGGUGAUCUACCCAUGUCCAGGGUGAAGUUCAGGUAACACUGAAUGGAGGCCCGAACCCACGCACGUUGAAAAGUGCGGGGAUGAGGUGUGGGUAGGGGUGAAAUGCCAAUCGAACCUGGAGAUAGCUGGUUCUCUCCGAAAUAGCUUUAGGGCUAGCCUCAAGGUAAGAGUCUCGGAGGUAGAGCACUGAUUGGACUAGGGGCCCCUACCGGGUUACCGAAUUCAGUCAAACUCCGAAUGCCGAUGACUUAUCCUUGGGAGUCAGACUGCGAGUGAUAAGAUCCGUAGUCGAAAGGGAAACAGCCCAGACCGCCAGCUAAGGUCCCAAAGUAUACGUUAAGUGGAAAAGGAUGUGGAGUUGCUUAGACAACCAGGAUGUUGGCUUAGAAGCAGCCACCAUUUAAAGAGUGCGUAAUAGCUCACUGGUCGAGUGACUCUGCGCCGAAAAUGUACCGGGGCUAAACGUAUCACCGAAGCUGCGGACUGUUCUUACGAACAGUGGUAGGAGAGCGUUCUAAG